AGAUCCAAACAGGAUGUGACAUCUGUCACUCUGUUGAUUGCCAGGGUUGAUCUGGCUGGCUAGGUGGGUGUCCCUUCCUCCCACCAUUCCACAUUCGUCCCUCCCAGAGCUGCAUGCUUGGUCAAAGACGAUGACCUUCCUGAUGGAGGAGGACUGUUCUUUGGUCAAGGGAAUGUAAGUAGCUGCGCUCCCCCUCUAGAACAGCCAGACAAGCUCUCAAAAAUACAAACGAAAGGAGCAGUUAGGCAAUUUCAUAAAAAUAGCAGCCUCACCUAACAGUGUUUUGGGGUUUUGUUUGUUU
rnacentral:snRNA from 1 species